GUCCACGCCCUAAACUAUGAUCACUCGAUGUGUGCGAUACACUGUACGCGUCUGAGCGAAAGCAUUAAGUGAUCCACCUGGGAAGUACGACCGCAAGGUUGAAACUCAAAGGAAUUGACGGGGGCCCCGCACAAGCGGAGGAGCAUGUGGUUUAAUUCGAUGAUACGCGAGGAACCUUACCUGGGCUUGAAAGUUAGUGAAUGCCGUAGAAACAUGGCAGCAAGCAAUUGCACGAAACUAGGUGCUGCAUGGCUGUCGU
rnacentral:rRNA from 1 species